rnacentral:rRNA from 1 species
GAUGAACGCUGGCGGCGUGCUUAACACAUGCAAGUCGAACGAAGCUGCUUAAAGGAAGUUUUCGGAUGGAAUUUAGGUAGACUUAGUGGCGGACGGGUGAGUAACGCGUGGAUAACCUGCCUUAUACAGGGGGAUAACGGAGAGAAAUUUCCGCUAACACCGCAUAAGACCACAGCACCGCAUGGUGCAGGGGUAAAAUAUUUAUAGGUAUAAGAUGGAUCCGCGUCCGAUUAGCUAGUUGGUGAGGUAGAGGCUCACCAAGGCGACGAUCGGUAGCCGGCCUGAGAGGGUGAACGGCCACAUUGGGACUGAGACACGGCCCAAACUCCUACGGGAGGCAGCAGUGGGGAAUAUUGGACAAUGGGGGAAACCCUGAUCCAGCGACGCCGCGUGAGUGAAGAAGUAUUUCGGUAUGUAAAGCUCUAUCAGCCGGGAAGAAAAUG